GACGAACGCUGGCGGCGUGCUUAACACAUGCAAGUCGAACGGAAAGGCCCUGCUUUUGUGGGGUGCUCGAGUGGCGAACGGGUGAGUAACACGUGAGUAACCUGCCCUUGACUUUGGGAUAACUUCAGGAAACUGGGGCUAAUACCGGAUAGGAGCUCCUGCUGCAUGGUGGGGGUUGGAAAGUUUCGGCGGUUGGGGAUGGACUCGCGGCUUAUCAGCUUGUUGGUGGGGUAGUGGCUUACCAAGGCUUUGACGGGUAGCCGGCCUGAGAGGGUGACCGGCCACAUUGGGACUGAGAUACGGCCCAGACUCAUACGGGAGGCAGCAGUGGGGAAUAUUGCACAAGGGGCGGAAGCCUGAUGCAGCAACGCCGCGUGCGGGAAGACGGCCUUCGGGUUGUAAACCGCUUUCGCCUGUGACGAAGCGUGAGUGACGGUAAUGGGUAAAGAAGCACCGGCUAACUACGU
rnacentral:rRNA from 1 species